rnacentral:rRNA from 1 species
AUUGAACGCUGGCGGCAGGCCUAACACAUGCAAGUCGAACGGUAACAGGAAGCAGCUUGCUGCUUUGCUGACGAGUGGCGGACGGGUGAUUAAUGUCUGGGAAACUGCCUGAUGGAGGGGGAUAACUACUGGAAACGGUAGCUAAUACCGCAUAACGUCGCAAGACCAAAGAGGGGGACCUUCGGGCCUCUUGCCAUCGGAUGUGCCCAGAUGGGAUUAGCUAGUAGGUGGGGUAACGGCUCACCUAGGCGACGAUCCCUAGCUGGUCUGAGAGGAUGACCAGCCACACUGGAACUGAGACACGGUCCAGACUCCUACGGGAGGCAGCAGUGGGGAAUAUUGCACAAUGGGCGCAAGCCUGAUGCAGCCAUGCCGCGUGUAUGAAGAAGGCCUUCGGGUUGUAAAGUACUUUCAGCGGGGAGGAAGGGAGUAAAGUUAAUACCUUUGCGCAUUGACGUUACCCGAAGAAGAAGCACCGGCUAACUCCGUG